GACGAACGCUGGCGGCGUGCUUAACACAUGCAAGUCGAACGGAAAGGCCCUGCUUUUGUGGGGUGCUCGAGUGGCGAACGGGUGAGUAACACGUGAGUAACCUGCCCUUGACUUUGGGAUAACUUCAGGAAACUGGGGCUCAUACCGGAUAGGAGCUCCUGCUGCAUGGUGGGGGUCGGAAAGUUUCGGCGGUUGGGGAUGGACUCGCGGCUUAUCAGCUUGUUGGUGGGGUAGUGGCUUACCAAGGCUUUGACGGGUAGCCGGCCUGAGAGGGUGACCGGCCACAUUGGGACUGAGAUACGGCCCAGACUCCUACGGGAGGCAGCAGUGGGGAAUAUUGCACAAUGGGCGGAAGCCUGAUGCAGCAACGCCGCGUGCGGGAUGACGGCCUUCGGGUUGUAAACCGCUUUCGCCUGUGACGAAGCGUGAGUGACGGUAAUGGGUAAAGAAGCACCGGCUAACUACGUG
rnacentral:rRNA from 1 species